rnacentral:antisense_RNA from 3 species
UUUUAUGGCGGCUGUGUUCGGGAGACUCUCAAGGUCUGCCGGGGUUUUGGUAUGGUUACCCGGUCUUGCACACUCGCUCACAGCUGCCACCUUC